AAUCUAUGGUGCGGGCAUUUUUGAAUCAAUAUUUUGAAACGUUCCCAUGCCUCAUAAAAACUUUUGCCCUCUAUCUGUCUAAAAACAACAAUCUCUCGCCUUACUUGGACU
rfam:Gossypium raimondii Chr02_contig_976, whole genome shotgun sequence.